rnacentral:rRNA from 1 species
CCUACGGGAGGCAGCAGUAGGGAAUAUUGGACAAUGGGUGCGAGCCUGAUCCAGCCAUGCCGCGUGCAGGAAGAAGGCCUUCUGGGUUGUAAACUGCUUUUGCCGGGGGAUAAAAGACCCAUGCGUGGGGAAUUGAAGGUACCCGGUGAAUAAGCCACGGCUAACUACGUGCCAGCAGCCGCGGUAAUACGUAGGUGACGAGCGUUGUCCGGAUUUAUUGGGUUUAAAGGGUGCGUAGGCGGCCCCGUAAGUCAGUGGUGAAAUACGGCAGCUCAACUGUCGAGGUGCCAUUGAUACUGCGGGGCUUGAGUACAGUCGAGGUAGGCGGAAUUGACGGUGUAGCGGUGAAAUGCUUAGAUAUCGUCAAGAACACCGAUAGCGAAGGCAGCUUGCUAGGCUGUAACUGACGCUGAGGCACGAAAGUGCGGGGAUCAAACAGGAUUAGAUACCCUGGUAGUCCGCACAGUAAACGAUGGUCACUCGGUGUUGGCGGUACACGGCCAGCGCCUUAGCGAAAGCGUUAAGUGACCCACCUGGGGAGUACGCCGCGAGGAGAACGACAANAGAGUAGACGCGUGAGACGUGCCGACGGACGACGACGAGGGAGGAGG